ACACACACAUACAACUAAUCUCACUCUCUCUCUCUCGGUCACACUCACACACACACUCCCCCUUUCCCCUUCUUCCUUUCUCCGGCGACAGUAGGCGUCGCCGGCCACGCCGUCCCCUCUCUUCUCCCCCAUAAAUCGCACAACACUCACACUAACAUAUCAGCUGCGCAGCACUCUCCUCUCCCUCUCUCGGCUACCUCAUCUCUCGCUCCCUGCCACCUCGCCGUCGCAGCUUCCCUUCCGGCGACAGCAGCCAAGACCCGACUACCUCUCUCUUUCUCCAGCCGUGGCCGGGCAGCAGCGGCAUCAACGCCGUGCCCUGCCUCCCUCUUCACGCUAAACCCACCACCGCGGUUCUACCUCCGGCGAUAGCAGCCCCAGCCGCCACCGCUCCUCCCUCUCUUGACCGAUCCUCCCUCUGGAACUCCGGCGAUAGCAGCGACUUAACGCCACCACCACCGGCGUCCUAGCCCCCAACUCUCUCUCGAUCUCCGGCCCGACAGCAGCGGGCAAAACCGCCGUGCCGCGGCCUCCCUCUGUUCUCACCAGCGUCCUCUUCCUCUUACACGGCCGGAUGACCGGCAGCGAGCACGCCGCCAUCCCGGCACCGCUCAACUCAACCCAACACACACACACACGGUUAAAGCUUGAAAAUAAAAUCUUUGUCUUUCUUUUCUUUUCAAUAAAUCAUGCUUUCAUGUAUGUAUAUGUAAUAAUGAAAGUCAUACUAUUGAAAUGCUUGAAUGUGUUGCUGUGUAUAUUGGUUUACUGAAAUGGCACAAAUGAAUUGCUUGAUUUAAACUGUAAAAGCUAAUGAGACGAAGGGGUUCAAGAGAGAACCUUUAGGAACUUAGGAUGUGAAAUGGGUGUUGUUUGAUUCUGGAUUUGCUUGGUUGCUGGAAUCGAGCUGCUGAUAUUCCUUAAAUGGAGCUAUAGGAAAAGAUAGAAUUUGCAGAUAUUGUUUCCAUCAAUUUGUAAGAUGAACCAAGCAAAAAUGGAAGAAACUCACGUUUAAAGCUCACCUAUGAAAUUAUCUUUUGCUCCUGAAUUCUGCUACUUGCGAGAGAGAGAUUGUGAAAGAUUUUGUGAAAUAAUGUAGGAAUAAAUUAAUUUGAGCAUAAGAUAUGGCAGACAAGCUUUAGUGUGGGUGGAAAGAGAGAUUGUGAAAGAUUUUGGAGAUUAUUUGCUGUCGGAUUAGUAGGAGAAGGGGGUAUGGUGGGAGGAAAGAAAGUGGAAAAUUUGAUAAGAUAUGAUUUAAGAUAUGAUUUGAUUGUGACAUGUAUGAAAAAAUAAAAAAAAUAAUCAUGAUAAAGGGUGGCUAUUAGGAACAUAAAAUACCGGGACUGUAAUAAUACUUCAGGGUUCGUUAAAUAAAUAGCUCGUGAAAAUACUUAAAUGCUAAAUUAA
rnacentral:lncRNA from 1 species